UGCGUAGGUGGUUUUGUAAGACAGUGGUGAAAUCCCCGGGCUCAACCUGGGAACUGCCAUUGUGACUGCAAGGCUAGAGUGCGGCAGAGGGGGAUGGAAUUCCGCGUGUAGCAGUGAAAUGCGUAGAUAUGCGGAGGAACACCGAUGGCGAAGGCAAUCCCCUGGGCCUGCACUGACGCUCAUGCACGAAAGCUGGGAGCAAACA
rnacentral:rRNA from 1 species